rnacentral:rRNA from 1 species
GAACUGUGCAAACGUUAUUCGGAAUCACUGGGCUUAAAGGGUGCGUAGGCGGGUUAGUAGGUCAGAUGUGAAAUCCCACGGGCUCAACCGUGGAACUGCGUUUGAAACCACUAGUCUUGAGGGGAUCAGAGGAGAGCGGAACUGAUGGUGGAGCGGUGAAAUGCGUUGAUAUUAUCAGGAACACCGGUGGCGAAGGCGGCUCUCUGGGAUCUUUCUGACGCUGAGGCACGAAAGCUAGGGGAGCGAACGGGAUUAGAUACCCCGGUAGUCCUAGCUGUAAACGAUCUGUACUAGUCCGUGGGGACCCCCACAUCUUCUCGGACGUAGCGAAAGUGUUAAGUACAGCGCCUGGGGAGUAUGGUCGCAAGGCUG